rnacentral:rRNA from 1 species
AUUCCGGGCCCUACGGGGCGCAGCAGGCGCGAAACCUUUACACUGCACGCCAGUGCGAUAAGGGGACCCCGAGUGCACAGGCAUAGAGCCUGUGCUUUUCUGAACCGUAGGGAGGUUCAGGAACAAGAGCUGGGCAAGACCGGUGCCAGCCGCCGCGGUAAUACCGGCAGCUCGAGUGAUGGCCGAUCUUAUUGGGCCUAAAGCGUCCGUAGCUGGCCUUGCAAGUCCGUCGGGAAAUCCACCCGCUCAACGGGUGGGCGUCCGGCGGAAACUGUGAGGCUUGGGACCGGGAGGCUUGAAGGGUACGUCCGGGGUAGGAGUGAAAUCCCGUAAUCCUGGACGGACCGCCGAUGGGGAAACCACUUCAAGAGAACGGAUCCGACAGUGAGGGACGAAAGCUAGGGUCUCGAACCGGAUUAGAUACCCGGGUAGUCCUAGCUGUAAACGAUGCCUGUUAGGUGUGACUCCCACUACGAGUGGGUGUUGUGCCGUAGGGAAGCCGCUAAACAGGCCGCCUGGGAAGUACGUCUGCAAGGAUGAAACUUAAAGGAAUUGGCGGGGGAGCACUACAACCGGAGGAGCCUGCGGUUUAAUUGGACUCAACGCCGGACAUCUCACCAGCAUCGACUGUGGUAAUGACGGUCAGGUUGAUGACCUUACCCGAGCCACAGAGAGGAGGUGCAUGGCCGCCGUCAGCUCGUACCGUGAGGCGUCCUGUUAAGUCAGGCAACGAGCGAGACCCGCAUCCUUACUUGCCAGCAGCACCGCGAGGUGGCUGGGGACAGUAGGGAGACCGCCGUGGCUAACACGGAGGAAGGAACGGGCAACGGUAGGUCAGUAUGCCCCGAAUAUGCUGGGCAACACGCGGGCUACAAUGGUCGAGACAAUGGGUUCCAACGCCGAGAGGCGACGGUAAUCUCAGAAACUCGAUCGUAGUUCGGAUUGUGGACUGAAACUCGUCCACAUGAAGCUGGAUUCGGUAGUAAUCGC